GACGAACGCUGGCGGCGUGCUUAACACAUGCAAGUCGAACGGUGAAGCUCCAGCUUGCUGGAGUGGAUCAGUGGCGAACGGGUGAGUAACACGUGAGCAACCUGCCCCAGACUCUGGAAUAAGCGCUGGAAACGGCGUCUAAUACUGGAUACGAGAUCAAGCCGCAUGGUUAUGGUCUGGAAAGUUUUUCGGUUUGGGAUGGGCUCGCGGCCUAUCAGCUUGUUGGUGAGGUAAUGGCUCACCAAGGCGACGACGGGUAGCCGGCCUGAGAGGGCGACCGGCCACACUGGGACUGAGGCACGGCCCAGACUCCUACGGGAGGCAGCAGUGGGGAAUAUUGCACAAUGGGCGAAAGCCUGAUGCAGCGACGCCGCGUGAGGGAUGACGGCCGUCGGGUUGUAAACCUCUUUCAGCAGGGAAGAAGCGAAAGUGACGGUACCUGCAGAAGAAGCACCGGCUAACUACGU
rnacentral:rRNA from 1 species